rnacentral:rRNA from 1 species
GAAACCGCGGACGGCUCAUUAAAUCAGUUGUGGUCUAAAUGGGCGACAGUUAUUUUUUGGAUAACUGUGGUAAUUCCAGAGCUAAUACAUGCGACUAAAGUCCCUAGCCUUCAUGGGCGACGGAUGCUUUUAUUAGACCGAGGUGAACGGCUGUUUCCUUUUCGGAGGUUUCAGUACGCGAUGCUAAAGGUGACUCUGGAUAACACUUGAUAAGCGCACGCAACACUUUAGUGAGCGGCGCUGCCACUUUCGAGUGACUGCCUUAUCAGCUAGUAACGUUUGUUAUGCGCAAACGCUGGCUCUGACGGGUAAC